AGUUCUGUUCUCAAUCAACACAAGAACAACGUUGUUGUUUACGCACUAACGAUCGGAACGAAAGCUCUCUCUCUCUCCCUCGAUCUCGCUCUCUUCUUCUUUGUCAAGCUCUACUUUACAAUCUCUCGUUCUCCCUCUCCCUCUCACUUUUCUCAUUGUUACUUUUUUUAGUUUUACUCUUUGGUUUGUCUAUGUGGCUAUUUUGUGGUUCUUUGAUUCUUUUUUUAGGUUUUUCUGUCCGUGAUGGAUUCCCCGCCAGGUACUCCGAUUUCAUCACUCUCUCAUACGGUGGCCACUCCGUCACUUCCGUCGGCACCGAAAGAGAAACCCCAACAGUCUAUGGCAAGGUUUAUUCAGCACUCUUUAGAUGAUAUUACCGAAAUGGUUCAGGAAAUUAUUCUAAGGCCUGAGUACAGCCAAGAAGCAUUGAAUUCUGAGAGAGAAAGAAAAAUGCGCAUUUUGAUGUCACUGCGAUAGUCAUUCAUUGCUUGCGUGAGUAUGAUUCUUGUGUUGGUUGGUAACUUGGUAUGAUUCUCUGUUCCUUUAUUCCUUUCAAUUUAUAUUUGGUAAGAAUCUAAGUGUAUAGAUUUAUAUACGUUUUUAUGCCAAAAUAUAAAAUAUGCCUUCGAUCUUGAUUUUUAUGCUAAAGAAAGUACCUAUUUUAUAUUAUGAAUCUAUGAUGAAUGAUGAUACUUCUAUAGACGGAUAUGUGUUAGGUAACAAUUUAUCUGUUUCAAUUGUUUAUGAUUCUUAUUCUAAAAUCUAUAAUAAGUCUCCUAAAGUUAGUCCUCUUUAUCUUUUUAUCUUAAUAUUGUUUAUGUUAUGUCAAUGCCACUCUUGUAACUAUUCGAAUAUUUGAGUACUCACUACCAACAUGUUCUAAUACCCUCUCAUUCACUAUCUAAGGUAUGUUCUUUUCUUUGCCAAAACUAUUUUGAAUCUAUUACUAACUUGAUCGUUGGAGUCUUUGCAGGUACCACACCCAUUGCUCAUGAGCAGGAACAACUUUGGCAACAACAAUUGGUCAAUCUAAUCUACUUCAUAUUUGGACAAUCAUUCUAGAAAUGAACAUGUAAGUAGUAUCUUAAUUACUGCAUCUCUUCUAUGUGGAAAAAGGUGAGAAAUUUAUGUGAUUCAAUUGUUUAUGACUCUCAUUCUAGAAUCAAUCAAUCUCUUAAAAUUAGUCCUCUUUUUCUUUUAUCUUGAUAUUGUUUAUGUUCUGUCAUGCCCCCUUCUGGUAACAAUUUAUAUCUGCAUAAUGGAUCACACAUUUUAUUGCGAUGUCGGUGGCAUGUCCCUGUCCUUCUCAACCUCCAAGUGUCGUUUGUGUGCUCGAUGUUGAAAUCGGCCUACAUUCAAGAGAUGAUAAGGCAAUAGUAUAUAAUUGAAACCAAGAGAUCUCUAUUCAACACAUGUCCAGUGCUUCCUCUACUUACAUCAAGUGGCCAUUUUACUUCCUCUGGUUCACAAUAUGUCUAGAUUGAUGUGCAACUUUGAAGUUCUAGGAUGUCAGAUUAUUUCCUUUCUUUGUAGUGUUACAAUAUUGUUUCAUUUGGCCUAUUGUUUUAAUCUUGACCUUAAUUUGUAUAAACUUCAGUUUCCAUGACAUUGUUAUGUUUAUUUUC